rnacentral:rRNA from 1 species
CCUACGGGAGGCAGCAGUCGAGAAUCUUCCGCAAUGGACGAAAGUCUGACGGAGCGACGCCGCGUGCGGGAUGAAGGCCCUUGGGUUGUAAACCGCUGUCAGAGGGGAUGAAAUCUUCGGAGGUACUCCUCCGAAGUUGACAGAGCCUCAAAGGAAGCACGGGCUAAGUACGUGCCAGCAGCCGCGGUAACACGUACUGUGCGAACGUUAUUCGGAAUCACUGGGCUUAAAGGGUGCGUAGGCGGCGAUUCAAGUCAGAUGUGAAAUGCCUGAGCUCAACUGAGGCAUUGCGUUUGAAACUGAAUUGCUAGAGUAUCCUAGGGGUGUGCGGAACUGCCAGUGGAACGGUGAAAUGUGUUGAUAUUGGCAGGAACACCGGAGGCGAAAGCGGCACACUGGGGGAUAACUGACGCUGAGGCACGAAAGCCAAGGGAGCGAACGGGAUUAGAUACCCCGGUAGUCUUGGCCGUAAACGAUGAGCACUGGGCGGGAGGGGGUUUCCCGUUUUCUGCCGUAGCGAAGCGUUAAGUGCUCGCCUGGGGAGUNUGGUCGNGAGGNGNGACANANAGAGUGNGNGNGNGAGNGCGAGACGACGACGAGGGAGGAGG